UACGUAGGGUGCAAGCGUUAAUCGGAAUUACUGGGCGUAAAGCGUGCGCAGGCGGUUUUGUAAGUCUGUCGUGCAAUCCCCGGGCUCAACCUGGGAAUUGCGAUGGAGACUGCAAGGCUUGAAUCUGGCAGAGGGGGGUAGAAUUCCACGUGUAGCAGUGAAAUGCGUAGAGAUGUGGAGGAACACCGAUGGCGAAGGCAGCCCCCUGGGUCAAGAUUGACGCUCAUGCACGAAAGCGUGGGGAGCAAACAGG
rnacentral:rRNA from 1 species